AGAGUUUGAUCAUGGCUCAGGAUGAACGCUAGCUACAGGCUUAACACAUGCAAGUCGAGGGGAAACGACAUCGAAAGCUUGCUUUUGAUGGGCGUCGACCGGCGCACGGGUGAGUAACGCGUAUCCAACCUGCCCUUUACUCCGGGAUAGUCUCCUGAAAGGGAGUUUAAUACCGGAUGUGUUUGUCUUUCCGCAUGGGAGCGACAAAUAAAGAUUAAUUGGUAAAGGAUGGGGAUGCGUCCCAUUAGCUUGUUGGCGGGGUAACGGCCACCAAGGCGACGAUGGGGUAGGGGUUCUGAGAGGAAGGUCCCCCGACAUUGGAACUGAGACACGGUCCAAAACUCCUACGGGAGGCA
rnacentral:rRNA from 1 species